AUGCUCCCUUUGGCAGCACAAACACUAAAAUUGGAACAACACAGAGAAGAUGAAUGGGGCCCCUGCACAAGGAUGACACCCGAAUUCCUGAAGCAUCUCAUAUUUUU